rnacentral:rRNA from 1 species
GAUGAACGCUGGCGGCGUGCCUAAUACAUGCAAGUCGAGCGAACAGAUAAGGAGCUUGCUCCUUUGACGUUAGCGGCGGACGGGUGAGUAACACGUGGGUAACCUACCUAUAAGACUGGAAUAACUCCGGGAAACCGGGGCUAAUGCCGGAUAACAUGUUGAACCGCAUGGUUCUACAGUGAAAGGCGGCUUUGCUGUCACUUAUAGAUGGACCCGCGCCGUAUUAGCUAGUUGGUGAGGUAACGGCUCACCAAGGCAACGAUACGUAGCCGACCUGAGAGGGUGAUCGGCCACACUGGAACUGAGCCACGGUCCAGACUCCUACGGGAGGCAGCAGUAGGGAAUCUUCCGCAAUGGGCGAAAGCCUGACGGAGCAACGCCGCGUGAGUGAUGAAGGUCUUCGGAUCGUAAAACUCUGUUAUUAGGGAAGAACAAAUGCGUAAGUAACUGUGCGCGUCUUGACGGUACCUAAUCAGAAAGCCACGGCUAACUACGUG